rnacentral:rRNA from 1 species
CCUACGGGAGGCAGCAGUAGGGAAUAUUGCUCAAUGGGGGAAACCCUGAAGCAGCAACGCCGCGUGGAUGAUGAAGGUUUUCGGAUUGUAAACUCCUUUUGUUAGAGAAGAUAAUGACGGUAUCUAACGAAUAAGCACCGGCUAACUCCGUGCCAGCAGCCGCGGUAAUACGUAGGGUGCAAGCGUUACUCGGAAUCACUGGGCGUAAAGAGAGCGUAGGCGGGAUAGCAAGUCAGAUGUGAAAUCCUAUGGCUUAACCAUAGGACUGCAUUUGAAACUGUUAAUCUAGAGUAUGGGAGAGGUAGGUGGAAUUCUUGGUGUAGGGGUAAAAUCCGUAGAGAUCAAGAGGAAUACUCAUUGCGAAGGCGACCUGCUAGAACAUAACUGACGCUGAUGCGCGAAAGCGUGGGGAGCAAACAGGAUUAGAUACCCCUGUAGUC